CUGAAUUUAAGCAAAUAAGUAGGCGGUGGAAAAUGAACCAAAGGGGAUUCCUUAAGUAAUUCCGAAUGAACAAGGAACUGCUCAGCUUGAAAAUUGGGGCCUUCGGCCUUGAAUUGUAAUUUUGAAAUGUAUUGCCAAUGGAGGCGCAGGUGCAAGCCUAUUGAAAGAAAGCGUCAAUGAGGGUGAGAUUCCUUUUUGUCAUUUGCAGUCCUCCGUGCACGGUAUAUAUUUGACGAGUCACACUCCUUGGCAUUGGAAUGCAAAGUGGGUGGUAAAUUCCAUGUAAAGGAAAAUAUAUUAUUGAGACUGAUAGCAAACAAGUACCAUGAGGGAAAUAUGAAAAGGACUUUGAAAAGAGAAUUAAAAGAGUCUGCAUUUGCUGAACAGAAAGCAAACAGAAUUGAUCUACUUGGUGAGAUUGUUGCGUCCACUUGUGGGUGCAAUGGUUCUUGCCUUGAAUGUCAGCGUCUAUUUCUGCAAAUUAUUACCCUUGCAUAUGAAUUGUAAUUUGCCUGUGGGCAUUGGAAUGCAUGUGUUUGCAAUGAUUUGUGAUUUGAUACAUGUGUCUGGUGUUCGCGUGUGUGCCUUCUUGCUAACACGGGGAGGGCUCUCCUCCCUGGGCACUGCAUGCCCUUGCACAUUGUUGCUGGCAAAAUGUUUCUGCUUGACCCGUCUUGAAACACGGACCAA
rnacentral:rRNA from 1 species